rnacentral:rRNA from 1 species
UUAAAGAGAAUAUGCCCUUCGGGGUAGUAUCUCCCACCCUUUGUUUAUAUUACCUUUGUUGCUUUGGCAGGCCCGUCUUUGGACCACCGGCUUCGGCUGGUCAGUGCUUGCCAGAGAACCCAAAACUCUUAUUAUUAAUGUCGUCUGAGUACUAUAUAAUAGUUAAAAACUUUCAACAACGGAUCUCUUGGUUCUGGCAUCGAUGAAGAACGCAGCGAAAUGCGAUAAGUAAUGUGAAUUGCAGAAUUCAGUGAAUCAUCGAAUCUUUGAACGCACAUUGCGCCCUCUGGUAUUCCGGGGGGCAUGCCUGUUCGAGCGUCAUUACAACCCUCAAGCUCUGCUUGGUAUUGGGCUUCACCAGUUCUGGUGUGCCUCAAAAUCAGUGGCGGUGCCAUUCGGCUUCAAGCGUAGUAAUUCUUCUCGCUUUGGAGACCCGGGUGUGUGCCUGCCAACAACCCCCAAUUUAAAGGUUGACCUCGGAUCAGGUAGGGAUACCCGCUGAACUUAA